rnacentral:rRNA from 1 species
UACGGAGGGUGCAAGCGUUAUUCGGAUUUACUGGGUUUAAAGGGUGCGUAGGCGGCUUUUUAAGUCAGUGGUGAAAGCCUGGUGCUCAACACCAGAAAUGCCAUUGAUACUGGAAGGCUUGAGUCAAGAAGAGGUAAGCAGAAUUCAUGGUGUAGCGGUGAAAUGCUUAGAUACCAUGAGGAAUUCCAAUAGCGAAGGCAGCUUACUGGUCUUGUACUGACGCUGAGGCACGAAAGCGUGGGGAGCGAAC